AAUGGACGAAAGUCUGACCGAGCAACGCCGCGUGAGUGGAGAAGUUUUCGGAUCGUAAAGCUCUGUUGUAAGUCAAGAACGUGUGUGAGAGUGGAAAGUUCACACAGUGACGGUAGCUUACCAGAAAGGGACGGCUAACUACGUGCCAGCAGCCGCGGUAAUACGUAGGUCCCGAGCGUUGUCCGGAUUUAUUGGGCGUAAGGGGAGCGCAGGCGGUCAGGAAAGUCUGGAGUAAAAGGCUAUGGCUCAACCAUAGUGUGCUCUGGAAACUGUCUGACUUGAGUGCAGAAGGGGAGAGUGGAAUUCCAUGUGUAGCGGUGAAAUGCGUAGAUAUAUGGAGGAACACCAGUGGCGAAAGCGGCUCUCUGGUCUGUCACUGACGCUGAGGCUCGAAAGCGUGGGUAGCGAACAGGAUUAGAUACCCUGGUAGUCCACGCCGUAAACGAUGAGUGCUAGGUGUUAGGCCCUUUCCGGGGCUUAGUGCCGGAGCUAACGCAAUAAGCACUCCGCCUGGGGAGUACGACCGCAAGGUUGAAACUCAAAGGAAUUGACGGGGGCCCGCACAAGCCGUGGAGCAUGUAGUUUAAUUCGAAGCAACGCGAAGAACCUUACCAGGUCUUA
rnacentral:rRNA from 1 species